rnacentral:rRNA from 1 species
GACGAACGCUGGCGGCGCGCUUAACACAUGCAAGUCGAACGGAAAGGCCUGCUUUCCCUUGUGGAUUGCGGGUACUCGAGUGGCGAACGGGUGAGUAACACGUGAGUGAUCUGCCCCCAACUUGGGUAUAAGCCUGGGAAACUGGGUCUAAUUCCCGAUAGGACUGCAGGGUGGUGCCUGUGGUGGAAAACGAUUUUCUAGUGGUUGGGGAUGAGCUCGCGGCCUAUCAGCUUGUUGGUGGGGUAAUGGCCUACCAAGGCGGCGACGGGUAGCCGGCCUGAGAGGGUGGACGGCCACAUUGGGACUGAGAUACGGCCCAGACUCCUACGGGAGGCAGCAGUGGGGAAUAUUGCACAAUGGGCGGAAGCCUGAUGCAGCGACGCCGCGUGGGGGAUGACGGCCUUCGGGGUGUAAACUCCUUUCGACCGCGAGGAAGCCACCUGGUUGGAAGGGUGGUGACGGUAGUGGUAGAAGAAGCACCGGCUAACUACGU